GUAGGUGAUGCAUUGCACAUCAGUAACACCAGCUCCUGAGUGGGCUGAGGUUGGUGGAUCUCCAGCUUGGGAGUUUUGGGCUGCAGUGGGCUAUGCUUUAUUGGGUGUCUGAACUAACUUUGGCAUCAUUGUGGUGAGUUCCCGGGGAGAGGGGAGCCAUUAACUUGCCUAAGGAGGAGUGAUCUGAUCUAGGGCAGAAACAGAGCAGGUCAGGGAUCCCAAGCCAAACUGUAGUGGUAUCAAGCCUGUGAGUAGACCUUGCACUUCUAAUUUGGCCAAGAUGAGGAGACCUUGUCUUUU
ensembl:misc_RNA Metazoa_SRP Metazoan signal recognition particle RNA